GUCCCCAUCGUCUAGAGGCCUAGGACACUGGCCUUUCACGCCGGCAACACGGGUUCGAAUCCCGUUGGGGACGCCA
rnacentral:tRNA from 4 species